CAGCUCUCCUGAACUCCCAGACCCAGAAACCUGCCACCAACCCCAACUCCACCAAUCUGACCACCCUGACCUUCAGGACCCCCCAAACCGCCCAGCCGCCCUGGACCACCCAGACCCCAGACUGCACCCCAGGAGCCACAUCCUUGAACUGCAGUGCAGGAGGCUGGGAGGCAUUUGGAGGAAGCUGCUACUUCAUCUCCAAGACCUCACAAGACUGUGGUGACAAACAACUCAGAUGUGAAGAAUGUUCAGACUGUGACCGGGUGAAAUAUUGGAGCUGGAACUGCAGCCGACGGGAAUGUUCCUGCUACGGGGCUGACCUUGUGACCAUCGACAGUGGACAGGAGCUGGAGUUUCUCCACAACAGAACAAGACCAUCGGGAUGUUAUUACUACAUCGGUCUCAACAGAAUCCAUGGCCAGUGGCAAUGGAUCAAUGACACACCUCUGACAGAGAGCAGGGUGCCGCUGAUCAAUAUCAAUAACCCCACAACUAGUGACUAUCCCUGUGCUACGAUUGGCCAUGGUAACGUGUCAACAGCAUCGUGUAUGGGUACAUAUAACUGGAUCUGUGAGAAGGGAGCUGGUGGUCGGAGCCACCCUACGUCACGGACUCAAGCCAGGGGAGCUGGAGCUUGAAGAGCGGGGAAGGAACCCGCCAACAGAGCCAGCGGGGUGAUGUUCAUUCAUUCAUUCAAUUAUUUAUUGAGCGCUUACUGUGUACAGAGCACUGUAGAAAGCACUUGGAAAGUACAAUUCAUCAACAGAUAGAAACAAUCCCUACCCAAUAACGGGCUCACAGUCUAGAAGGGGGGAGACAGACAACAAAACAGAACAACUAUACAGGCAUCAAUAGCAUCGAUAUAAAUAAACAGAAUUAUAGAUAUGUACACAUCAUUAAUAAAAUAAAUAGAAUAAUAAAU
rnacentral:lncRNA from 1 species